rnacentral:rRNA from 1 species
UGGUGGAGUGAUUUGUCUGGUUAAUUCCGAUAACGAACGAGACUCUAGCCUACUAAAUAGUAUGGAGGUCUUGACGUCUCCACUACUUCUUAGAGGGACUGACGGCGUUUAGCCGUACGAAAUUGAGCAAUAACA